AAUCAAUAGGGCUAGUAUAUUCGGUGUAUGGAAGGACUGUAAGGUAUACAUGUCCAACUGGCAGGUGUCAUCUGACCUUGACCUCAUUUUCAUGGUUCAGUUGUUAUAGUUAAGUUUUUGUGUUUUGGUCUGUUUUUCUCAUACUUUAUUCAAUAGAUCUACUAUAUUUGUUGUAUGGAAUGAUUGUAAGGUGUACAUGUCUAGCGGGCGGAUGUCAUCUGACCAUGACCUCAUUUUCAUGGUUGAGUGGUCAAAGUUAAGUUUUAAAGUUUUGGUCUUUUUAUCUAAUACUAUAUGCCAUAGGUCAACUAUAUUUGGUGUAUGGAAAUAUUUUUAUGAUCUAUAUGUCAGUCG
rnacentral:lncRNA from 1 species